AGCCUCGUGGCCUAACGGUUAAGUCGUCUAAUUUCAGAUCAGAAGAUUGCAGGUUCGAAUCCUGCCGGGGUCG